rnacentral:rRNA from 1 species
GGGGUUUGACAUGUCGAUGACGCAGGCAGAGAUGUCUGUUUCUUUCGGGACGUCGACACAGGUGCUGCACGGCUGUCGUCAGCUCGUGUCGUGAGAUGUUGGGUUAAGUCCCGCAACGAGCGCAACCCUCGUCACUAGUUACUAACGGUUAGGCCGAGGACUCUAGUGAGACUGCCUUCGUAAGGAGGAGGAAGGUGAGGACGACGUCAAGUCAUCAUGGCCCUUACGGCUAGGGCAACACACGUGCUACAAUGGUUAGGACAAUGAGAAGCAAUAUCGCGAGGUGGAGCAAAUCUAUAAACCUAAUCUCAGUUCGGAUUGUAGUCUGCAACUCGACUACAUGAAGCUGGAAUCACUAGUAAUCGUAGAUCAGCUAUGCUACGGUGAAUACGUUCCCGGGUCU